CAAAUCAUGCUUAGUAAUGGUUCUUGUUAUUUACAUUAACAAGAUUAGUUGUGUAAUUCAACUUGAUUUGA
rnacentral:tRNA from 1 species